rnacentral:rRNA from 1 species
CCUACGGGCGGCUGCAGUGGGGAAUUUUGGACAAUGGGCGCAAGCCUGAUCCAGCAAUGCCGCGUGAGUGAAGAAGGCCUUCGGGUUGUAAAGCUCUUUUGUGGAACGUACGGUACCUGAAGAAUAAGCACCGGCUAACUACGUGCCAGCAGCCGCGGUAAUACGUAGGGUGCACGCGUUAAUGGGAAUUACUGGGCGUAAAGCGUGCGCAGGCGGUUUUGUAAGUGUGUCGUGAAAUCCCCGGGCUCAACCUGGGAAUGGCGAUGAAGACUGCAAGGCUAGAGUUUGGCAGAGGGGGGUAGAAUUCCACGUGUAGCAGUGAAAUGCGUAGAUAUGUGGAGGAACACCGAUGGCGAAGGCAGCCCCCUGGGUCAACUGACGCUCAUGCACGAAAGCGUGGGGAGCAAACAGGAUUAGAUACCCUAGUAGUC